UCACAAGAUAUGGAAACUAGCCGCCACUGUAGGAACUGAUGUGAGUGGGUACAGCACACUAUAGAAUGUCAGCGUAUAGAUAAAAGGAAAUAGUCUUAACAGGGUUACCCAAGACUUAAAUGUAUCCUCUACCUGCAGGAUGGGAGAUGUAUGACCUACAGGGUCUGACCCAUAGAGAUAUAGGAGGACAGUAGAUAAAGGACACUUUUCAGGAGAUAGUCUGCUUUGUUGAUUGCAAAGUAGAAUUUAAGUACCACUUAAAGGGAAUCUGUCACCACUGCCGGUGUUCAGGACUGCUUCUGGACUGUGUAUUUCAGCGCAACUUUGAGCACUGACUGCGGGGGAACCAGGGGCAGUAGGUUAAUAAAAAAAUAAUGACCUGGUCUCCUUAUCUGCAGCACUAGUCAUCUAUUACUGCAGAUGGUCCAAGAUCCUGGUGACAGAUUCGGUAACAAAUUAAUCUGGGUGUUUAUUUGUCCAGCACUCCCAUCCAGUAAUCUAGUAGCCACCUUCCUCAUGGUUUUGACAUUUUUCUCCCAAAGUGUUUAGAUUUAGAGUUGAAGAUGUAGAAUAAUUUUCUUUUUUUUAGCGUUCUAACAUUUACUCUGCUUUUUACAUUUUAAUGUGCAGUUUGAAUUUGGGUGGAUGCUCUUUAUUUUUUAUUUUUUUUAGCAUUAGUAUAUUCUCCAAAGUGGAUUGCAUUGUGUCCUUUAUUUAUAUAAAAAUGAACAGAGUAAAAAGGGGACAUAACCGUCAAAGUUCAGAAAGAUGAGUCUGCUAUCAUUGAAGAAGUGAAUAGGACAAUGUUAUAUAAAAGUACAGUAAAAUUAUUAUUAUUUUUUUUUUUCUCCAUUGCUUAUGCCUUAAACAAGUUCCCUUCUAGAGAUUUGAGCUUGCCUUCUCUGUUUACUUUUCAUAUUCCCCCCCCCCCUGUGUAAGAUGAAAACCUACACGAGGUGCUUCUUUUACCAGUUUUGGACAUUACCAGAAUUGCCAAUUUUGGUUUAAAGGGGUUGUCCGCUUUUGCUAUAUUGAUGACCUCAUUACAGGUGAUCAAUACAGAUCGUCGGGGGCCCGACUGCUGGCACCCCUGCCUAUCAGCUGUUUGAAGAUAAUGCAGCGCUUGUAUAAACGCUGUGUUCUCCUCUCUGUUUACCUGCUCACGGUCAGCAUUGCAGUGGUGAGUAGGUAAAAUCCACCGUCACAUCAGAGCUGUCAGCAGUCUAGCCCCCGUUGAUCUGAUAUUGACGACCGAUCCUAAGGAUAGGUCAUCAAUAUAGCAGAAGCAGACAACCCCUUUAAUUAUAUUUUCAACGAUAAAGGUAUGUUCACAUGCGGCAGAUUGGGUUCAUAUAUCUAAAUGUCGAUAUUUCUGCAGAACGUGCAUAAAUUUAUGCAAAGUCUGUUCAGAUGAAUGCAACAGUGAACAUGCCCUUGCACAGCUCUAGAAAAUCAGCAUAGCCUAAAGGUUGGCUUUCUAUAGAACUAGCCAACCAUCUAAUGGUGGCAGAUUAUGUCAACUUCAACAUGGCCGUUCUCAGGGGAGAUAGACACCUUUGUUGGCAGCUUUUCUCCCUUCUCCUCAUUUGAAACACAUGUAGAGCCAAAAAAUGCCUGUGUAUGAAGGGCAGGGGGUGAUGCCUGGCUUCCAAAUGAGAGACCGCUUCAGCUCGUGGCUAUCUCAAGUGUAUGGCCACCCUAGGAAAACCUGUUAUCCGAAGGUAUGAGAUGUGCAUUUCGGGUGAAAAUUGAUCUUUUAAUCCAUACUAUUACUAUGUUUCCAGUUUGUCACUUGAAGGAGAGCCUGUAUAUUGUGUAUGAUGAACAUUUCCCAAUAAACCAUAGCGUUUCUGACUAUGA